GGCUCCAGCAGCUGGAUUUCUACAACGGCCGAUCGCCUCCGGAUUCCUCAGACUCCUCCAGUAGACGAGCCUCCCUAACACCAUCCGAAGUCCACCACCAACCGACCUUCCACCAGAUUCCUCAUGAAAUCGGACUCCUCUGGCGGAUAAUCCCAUAUGGACUUUCCUAGCAAUUGGACUCCUAUCAGACUUCGCCAAUAGAAAGUCUUCAUCCGAGUCUCUACAACAGAUGGUUCUCACCUGUAGCCUCAGCACUCAAGGCCUCCGACAAUAGUAGACUCGUCAGCGACCUCGAAAACAUCCGAGCUUCUCCUAGAUCGACGAGACAGAGAGUCAUGCCGCUCCAUCAGACAUCCCAGCCGAGCUUCAGCUGACAGAUCUGAACUCUCUGGCAAGCCAUGAUGAGGGCCUCUACCCUGCUCCACUCUUUACAAUGGAUUCCACGCGGCUCCACUACUCUCUGACAAGCCAUGACGAGGGCCGCUACCCUGCUCCACUCUCUGCAACGGAUUCCACGCAGCUCCACCACUCUGUGGCAAGCCACAACGAGGGCUGCUACCCUGUUCCACUCUCUGAUAAGUCACGACAACAGACACCACUCUCUGUAACAAACUCCACGUGGCCCUGAACGGCCCUCGAUGCCACUGCUCUCCAUAACAAACUCCACAUGGCCCUGAACGGCCCC
rnacentral:lncRNA from 1 species